AAGUCGUAACAAGGUUUCCGUAGGUGAACCUGCGGAAGGAUCAUUAGCGUAAGAAUGACCGUACGGUCUAUUCUAUAACCAUGUGAACGAGGAUCUGUUUGACCUGUGGUGUUGGUGGCAGUGAAAACUGCCGCCGGCAUCUACAAGUCGACUUUUAAACCGUUGACAAAUUGUGAAUUUUAACAAAUACUGAACCAAACACACAACUUUUAACAAUGGAUCUCUAGGCUCCU
rnacentral:misc_RNA from 1 species